AACUUUUGACCUCGGAUCAGGUAGGGAUACCCGCUGAACUUAAGCAUAUCAAUAAGCGGAGGAAAAGAAACCAACAGGGAUUGCCCUAGUAACGGCGAGUGAAGCGGCAACAGCUCAAAUUUGAAAUCUGGCUCUUUUAGAGUCCGAGUUGUAAUUUGCAGAGGGCGCUUUGGCUUUGGCAGCGGUCCAAGUUCCUUGGAACAGGACGUCACAGAGGGUGAGAAUCCCGUACGUGGUCGCUGGCUAUUGCCGUGUAAAGCCCCUUCGACGAGUCGAGUUGUUUGGGAAUGCAGCUCUAAAUGGGAGGUACAUUUCUUCUAAAGCUAAAUAUUGGCCAGAGACCGAUAGCGCACAAGUAGAGUGAUCGAAAGAUGAAAAGCACUUUGGAAAGAGAGUCAAACAGCACGUGAAAUUGUUGAAAGGGAAGCGCUUGCAGCCAGACUUGCUUACAGUUGCUCAUCCGGGUUUCUACCCGGUGCACUCUUCUGUAGGCAGGCCAGCAUCAGUUUGGGCGGUAGGAUAAAGGUCUCUGUCACGUACCUCCUUUCGGGGAGGCCUUAUAGGGGAGACGACAUACUACCAGCCUGGACUGA
rnacentral:rRNA from 1 species